GUCUGUACAUUAAUGGUCCCCAUGGUCUACUCAUUGUCGUCUGCACAUUAACACCCCCUUAGUCAACUCAAUGUAGUCUGCACAUUAAUGGCUCCCAUAAUCUACUCAUUGUGGUCUACACAUUAAUGGCCCCCAUGGUCAACCCUUUGUGGUCUGUACAUUAAUGGCCUCCAUGGACUACUCAUUGUGGUCUGUACAUUA